UGCUUAUUUCUAUUUGUUAGUUAUACCAGGAAAGCCAAAAAAAAAAAAAAAAAGGAGGAAAAGCAGCUUAAGUUUUUAAACCUAUUAUGCAGUAUUCCAAAAGGUCAAGUUGCUUUUCUUUUAAAAUGCAAUUUAAUUGAAAAUGGACAGUAGCCUGGAUCUUCUUCAGGCGUAAUGAAGCAGGCUAUUGAUAUGCACCAUGUGUCCCUGAUUAAAAUCAGAAGGCUAGGAAUGUUCAGCCAAUUAGGCAAUUUGUGAGACAUUGGCCCAAUUAGUUUGGGACCAUGGAGAAGCAGGUACACGGUAAGAUACUUUGUGUAUUCCCUGUAAACAAACAAAAAAACCCUACAAGGUGCUGAAUGAUGUCCAGACUAAUAAAGCCAAUUAAUUGGCUGAACUCUCUUACUGCUCUUUAUUUUGCCUCCAGAAAGAUUUCUCUGUAAUAGAAAUUUACCAAGAUUUUGCAAAGAACUGUUUCAGAACAUGCAUGAAAAAUGAAAAUCCAAAAACGGUGGUGAAAUUCCUUGAAUGAGGUAAGUGACCAGCCUCAAAUUGGAGAGGAGGACCAGAAGAUGUACUGAUAUCAUGAAACAACAGGGUUUCUUCAGGAAGGUGAAAAUGCUACACAGACAGCUUUUAAAACACUAUAUUGACUUUUUAAAGAGGAUUCAACAGUGUUGAAAAUGAGAUAUGUGAAUGGAUUGCUUUUCCAGUGAUGCUUCAAAACCACAAUUUUCAGCCCCUUGACUGGAACAAACCUGCAAUCAUUUUGCUUCCUUGUUGGGUCUAUGACUGUCAGAUGUUCUUUAAAAAGACUAUUUGGCAGAUUUAUGAAACAACACAUAUAAAAAAAAAUCCUAAAGGUUUCAGUAUAGUGUCAGAUAGCUAUGUAAGCUACUGAUCAAUUGGGCUAUUGCAAGCAUUUCAUGGCACAUUGUGCUGUCUUCUGUUGUAUCUUUCUGUGUCUAAAACUAGACCCCUGGGGAAAGAUUCAAGUAUGUGUGUUAAUAUUCCUUGCUCGUACAACAGAAGUUUCAGCAGUCAGGCUGAACUUGCUUCCAUAGCAGGUUUCAGAGCCUGUGUCCAGUGUGGCAAAAAUAGGUUGCUGACACUUUGUAUGCAGUAAGAGAUGUUGACUUUACAGAAAUAUUAAGUGAAUCCAUUAAUCUGUUAUGAGCAAUUGCCCUCCUGGUAAGUCAUAUAUUUUCCCAUUUAUUGUAUUGUGUCCUAGCCAAACUGUUGCCCUUUCAGAACAAUGUGCCAAAAACCAGCUCAGGCAGAAGUUUACAACUCACAGAAAUGGGGCCUAUUAAAUUCAUAAGGGCUUUGGAAACCAACCUAUACAAUUCUAAGUACAUCAGAAUUCCAGAAAGGGAACAAUCAUUAUAAUUUAUAUUAUUACUAUUCAACCAACCAAUAAAUGAGGCCUCAGAUAUAUUUUAACUCUUCAUAAGGUUUUAGACUGUAUUCUCUUUUAGAUAACAGGUUUUACUGAAGAUCAACACAAAAACAAAUGUGCCAAUUUACACCAAAUAAUUUGACCUCUGGGAAUAUUUAGAGAUUUCAGAAGAGAAAAGUCACAGCAAUAGCACAUUAGAUCAAAAAUGCUGUUCUGUGUGUAAUGAAAGGGUUUAUUAUCAUUUAAGUGUUAAAUGUAAUUCACAGAAAUGAACCUUAAUGCUUGAAACACAUACAUUGUUAUAGUUGCUUUUAACCAAUUCAAAAAGAAAAAUGAGGAAUGCCUCUGUCCAUUAA